rnacentral:tRNA from 1 species
GCUUCGAUAGUUUAAUAAAACAUUACCCUGUGGAACUAAAAAUGGAACCCACCACUUCGCAGCA